rnacentral:rRNA from 1 species
GAUGAACGCUGGCGGCGUGCCUAAUACAUGCAAGUCGAGCGAACAGAUGAGGAGCUUGCUCCUCUGACGUUAGCGGCGGACGGGUGAGUAACACGUGGAUAACCUACCUAUAAGACUGGGAUAACUUCGGGAAACCGGAGCUAAUACCGGAUAAUAUAUUGAACCGCAUGGUUCAAUAGUGAAAGACGGUUUUGCUGUCGCUUAUAGAUGGAUCCGCGCCGCAUUAGCUAGUUGGUAAGGUAACGGCUUACCAAGGCAACGAUGCGUAGCCGACCUGAGAGGGUGAUCGGCCACACUGGAACUGGGACACGGUCCAGACUCCUACGGGAGGCAGCAGUAGGGAAUCUUCCGCAAUGGGCGAAAGCCUGACGGAGCAACGCCGCGUGAGUGAUGAAGGUCUUCGGAUCGUAAAACUCUGUUAUUAGGGAAGAACAAAUGUGUAAGUAACUAUGCACGUCUUGACGGUACCUAAUCAGAAAGCCACGGCUAACUACGUG